rnacentral:lncRNA from 10 species
UGAGCCACAGGGCACUGCUCUUUUACUUGGGCCACAUGGCAGUGCCAACUAACCUGGAUCACAGAUGAAUGAGUUUGGACUCAUCUGUCUCUGAUAACCAGGAAUAGCCACCUCCUGACAGCACCAACACCUGCUUGCUUCUCAGGGGCUCCUGACCCAUUGUUUCCAGAAACAAAGAUCUCCCCUGGGUGCAUCCCCCUGUACAGGAUGGGGAAACCGAGGCCCAAAGCAGAGGGACCAGCUCGAGGUCACACAGCAGGUCAGCAGCUGAGGCAGAGCCUGAAUGGUCUCUGGACUCCUCGCCCAUGGUGUCACUACGGCACCACUGCAUCUGCCCAGCCUCAAGGAGCCUGUGACACUAUUUCCCAGUGAAGCCAUAAGGUCAAGUUCACCCGUUUCUCACCCAUUCUCCCCUUGAGGGUGGAGACAUCUCAGCAUUUCAGUAUGGCUCCUCAGUGUCCUUUAUUCUC